rnacentral:rRNA from 1 species
AGAACGAACGCUGGCGGCAGGCCUAACACAUGCAAGUCGAACGCCCCGCAAGGGGGAGUGGCAGACGGGUGAGUAACGCGUGGGAACGUGCCCUUCGGUUCGGAAUAACUCAGGGAAACUUGAGCUAAUACCGGAUACGUCCGUAAGGAGAAAGAUUUAUUGCCGAAGGAUCGGCCCGCGUCGGAUUAGCUAGUUGGUGAGGUAACGGCCCACCAAGGCGACGAUCCGUAGCUGGUCUGAGAGGAUGAUCAGCCACACUGGGACUGAGACACGGCCCAGACUCCUACGGGAGGCAGCAGUGGGUAAUAUUGGACAAUGGGCGCAAGCCUGAUCCAGCCAUGCCGCGUGAGUGAAGAAGGCUUAGGGUUGUAAAGCUCUUUCAGCGGGAAGAUAAUGACGGUACCCGCAAGAAAGAACGCCCCGGACUAACUUCGUCGCCACGCACGCCGC